rnacentral:rRNA from 1 species
AACGAACGCUGGCGGCAUGCCUAACACAUGCAAGUCGAACGAGACCUUCGGGUCUAGUGGCGCACGGGUGCGUAACGCGUGGGAACCUGCCCUUAGGUUCGGAAUAACUCCCCGAAAGGGGUGCUAAUACCGGAUAAUGUCUUCGGACCAAAGAUUUAUCGCCUUUGGAUGGGCCCGCGUUGGAUUAGCUAGCUGGUAGGGUAAAAGCCUACCAAGGCGACGAUCCAUAGCUGGUCUGAGAGGAUGAUCAGCCACACUGGGACUGAGACACGGCCCAGACUCCUACGGGAGGCAGCAGUGGGGAAUAUUAGACAAUGGGCGAAAGCCUGAUCCAGCAAUGCCGCGUGAGUGAUGAAGGCCUUAGGGUUGUAAAGCUCUUUUACCCGGGAUGAUAAUGACAGUACCGGGAGAAUAAGCUCCGGCUAACUCCGUG